GCCGACGUAGCUCAACGGUAGAGCAGCUGACUUGUAAUCAGCAGGUUGCGGGUUCAAUUCCCAUCGUCGGCU
rnacentral:tRNA from 1 species